CCUACGGGAGGCAGCAGUGAGGAAUAUUGGUCAAUGGCCGGAAGGCUGAACCAGCCAAGCCGCGUGAAGGACGACUGUGCCAUGCGUUGUAAACUUCUUUUGUCUAGGGACAAAAUCAGGCUUGCGUGCCUGCUCGUGGGUACUUGAUGAAUAAGCAUCGGCUAACUCCGUGCCAGCAGCCGCGGUAAUACGGAGGAUGCGAGCGUUAUCCGGAUUCAUUGGGUUUAAAGGGUGCGUAGGCGGACUGUUAAGUCAGCGGUAAAAGCGCGGGGCUCAACCCCGGCGAGCCGUUGAAACUGGCUGUCUUGAGAUGUCGAGAGGUAUGCGGAAUGCGCAGUGUAGCGGUGAAAUGCUUAGAUAUUGCGCAGAACUCCGAUUGCGAAGGCAGCAUACCGGCGGCGAUCUGACGCUGAGGCACGAAAGCGUGGGUAUCGAACAGGAUUAGAUACCCGGGUAGUC
rnacentral:rRNA from 1 species